AUUGAACGCUGGCGGCAUGCUUUACACAUGCAAGUCGAACGGUAACAGGGAGCUUGCUCCGCUGACGAGUGGCGAACGGGUGAGUAAUGCGUCGGAACGUGCCGAGUAGUGGGGGAUAACGCAUCGAAAGGUGUGCUAAUACCGCAUACGUACUGAGGUAGAAAGCGGGGGACCUUCGGGCCUCACGCUAUUCGAGCGGCCGACGUCUGAUUAGCUAGUAGGUGAGGUUAAGGCUCACCUAGGCGACGAUCAGUAGCGGGUCUGAGAGGAUGAUCCGCCACACUGGGACUGAGACACGGCCCAGACUCCUACGGGAGGCAGCAGUGGGGAACUUUGGACAAUGGGCGAAAGCCUGAUCCAGCCAUGCCGCGUGUCUGAAGAAGGCCUUCGGGUUGUAAAGGACUUUUGUCAGGGAGGAAAUCCCUAGUGCUAAUAACACUGGGGGAUGACAGUACCUGAAGAAUAAGCACCGGCUAACUACGUGCCAGCAGCCGCAGUAACAC
rnacentral:rRNA from 1 species